GGGAAGGUAGUGUAGUGGUAACACUUGUCAGAUUGUCUGAUACGGCCCGAGUUCGAUUCUCGACCUUCCUC